AUGCUCAAGGGUUCAUUAACCUCAGUGGGAUAACAGACCCAUUAACAGGCUCAUCUAUGGAUUAAUCAUUCAAGGCUUAUGGAGACCUACGUUCAUCCACUGUAGUCUGAAAAUAUGUCUUAGACUACUCUUCUGCUGUUUCUCAGACCUAGAACUGGUUUCUGAGAACAUAGUGGUGAAGAGUCAAUCUGAACAACCAGUGCAGGCUGUUCUUUCAUCUGAGCUGCCAGGCUGAAGCAACAGCUGAGAAGAGAAGUCUCCUAGGAGGAAAAACACUACCAAAUAGCUUGGCUAAUUCUGCCACUUCAAAAGCUUUAAAAACUUCCUUACCUGAGGGAGCACUGGAUUUUAUAAGUAAUCUAGUUUUAGGAAGUGUGGCUCUGUGAGAAAGGGCCUCAUUAUGCCAUGUGCUGAGUAGGAGGCAAAGCUCCUGUCUAGC
rnacentral:lncRNA from 1 species